rnacentral:tRNA from 1 species
GCCUCCGUAGCUUAGCGGUAGAGUGAACGGCUGUUAACCGUUUGGUCGUCGGUUCGAUCCCGACCGGAGGCG